GCAGAGCGUCCAGCGGGGGCGGGGGGAGGGGGCCGCCCGCUUCCGCCUCUGCCAGGAGCGCUCCGGUCGCUCAGUCGCGCUCCCCACGGCGCUCAGUCAGGCGAAGCCCUAAUGGGUCAUAACGGGGCUUUCGUCGGGACGUGAUCGUCCACCCCUGCCCGGGCCGAGCUCUGCGUGCUCGGACGUCUCUAGCGCAGGAAAACAAAAGCGUGUUCGGUGAGAAGUAGCAGCUGUGUAGCGGUUUUGAGGCAAUAAAUACGGCUGAUCUCUGUCUAAACUCCCGUCUAAGCCCUGCUUAGGAGGCUUAAGAGCUGUCUGUGAGGAUGGCGAGGUAAAGCCUCGAGCCUCGCUAAUGCCCCUGGCAGAGCACAAGCAGCUCGCUCCGGGGCUGCAGGUCACGGGUGACACGGUGGCACCAGGCCUGUCCUGCAAGGCAGCGCUCAGCGUGGGUGCAAAGGACUGCUGCUCUGCCCCAGCUAAAAUGGGCUCCCUGGCUGGGGCUGUUGCUGAGAGGGCUUGGGUACAGAAUGUAAACUGACACCUCUGUUAGCACAGCAAACCAGUGAUCAGUAUCCAUGCCAGAAUUUCAGGUGCAAAUGGAGUAGUUUCCAUGGACCUGUUACAAGCCAUGCACUACAGACUCAAUCCAUGGACUGCAAGUUAGCAUUUGGCAUUGUACUAAAGCUCCCAGUCUGUUCUGCAGUGGGGGCCAAGCUUCAUGGAAAAUCCUCCCUCAUGCUUGUGUCUACAUAUCUACCAUCCUAUUAAAGAUAUAUUGCUAUUUUUAGUAGAAUAUAAUUUAAAAUGAGAUACAAAAUAUAUAUUAAAAAAAUUGUAAAAUUCUAAAGCUACAUUGUCAGCACUGAAAGUAUUUCUGAUAUUUGAAUUAUCUUUUAAUUCUUAUUAUACAUUUUCCAAUCUUCCAGAAAACCUUAGUGUUGUUUUAACUGCCUUUUCAAUUGAAAUGGUCUUUUAAUUGGCUGGAAAUAUAUCCUAAGUUUGAUUCUGUUCCAAACACUUGUUCAGCAAAACAACUGAUGAUUACCCAUUUCUGGAACUGAGUUUAUUACAAGAAAAACAUCAAUGAACCCUCUGUGGAAUUUUUCAAGAUUUUUGGAGAUGAAAUGCAAUAUCAUCUUUGUAGUACAGAGUGAGCAGAUAUUCUAGUCCCAGAUUUGUUACCAUCUUUGCAGUGUAACUUUGGACAAGUCACUAAAUUUUUGCUGCCUGUUUUUUUGCUUUGUAAAAGAAGCUAAUAUUAACAUGCCAUCAAAUAAUUUAACAAGUUUGAGUGAAUGCUUGCAAAGUACUCUGAGAAAGUCAGAUGGAAAAUGUUAUGAAAGUCCAUGCCUCUGCUAGCCAAAGAGGAUAUUUACAGUAGAUUCUUAUUCUAUGUAGCAAAAUAAAAAUGUUGAAGUAUAUAGCCAGAUGAGACCAAGAUGGAUCUAAAAUUAAAUGCAGGAGGAUUUUUUUUUACCUUUCAACAGAAAUUAUAUAACCACUCUUAGGUUAUAAAUAGUCCUUUGUUUUACUUCUCUUUGUCUAACACUCAGAAGAAACACAGGGUUAGUUGUUUGUUAUGAAGAUACAGUGCAAUGCUUUAGAGUGGAAACAAUUGUGCACUGUUCUUUAUUUAUGCAGUUCCUCUAAUGUUUGUAAGUACCAUUUGUUGCAUUGCUUAGCACUUUUUUUAUCUUCAAAAAGCUACAGAAAUAAAGUUUCUAGUUUUGGAAAUUACAACAGCAGAAGAAAACAAAACCACACACCAGUCCAUUUCAAGCCUGAAUGUUUCUUUCUUCUUUCCUGGUUUGAUAUGUGACUGAAGAACAAAAAAGUCCUAAACUCUUGUCAAACUGACACAUAAACACUCAUAUAUUAUUUCCUAUUUUUAUUAUUAAUCCUAAGAAAUAACAUAUUAAAUGUGUCCCCCUUUAAAUUAAAGUAUUUAUAUUAGCAUUAAGGAAAACAAUACUGAAUUCUUCACAGAAUGAUGUGUGUUUACAAAUAUUUCCUUCAACAACCAGUAAGUGCUUAACUAGUAGCAGUUUCAUUUCUUGUUAAAAAAAAACACUUUAACAAACAGAAAUGACCUGAAAAUUUACUCUGAAGUCAAGUAAUUGGCAUUAGUCAGAAAGCAGAAUGAUAAGAAUACCACCUUUUCCUUACUUUUUUUUUUCUUACUUUGUAUGAUUUCUCUCGUGUUCAUAUUAUGGAAAUAAUAUCCUUGACCUUUAGAUACAUGUGACACAAAUGGCUUUAUUAGACACUGCAUUUUGUUUCAUUUAAAUUUUUAAUCACCUUUCAAACCCAUUCAUUUGCUCCAUAACUUUCCACUGAGAGCAAGUGUGAUUCUCUACAGUAAAUUGGAAUAAAUUGGCUGCAAGCAAAGAAUACAUGAUUAGGCUUCAGAAAUAAAAGGAAUCACAGUUUAAAACCCAGGUACAUUGCAGUACUGUCCAAUCUCUGCAGGCUAUUUAGAAAUGCCUGGAGACAGAUCAAGCCUUGAUUGCUUCAGAACUGAGGCCAAAGGUGACCAGUCCUGAAGUGACACUUCAGUUUAAGUCCCAUUUCCCACAGCUAUGCUGAGAAAACCUGUCAUAUUACAUGUAAUCCAACCCUUUGACUUUAAGCAAAUUAAACACUUGGGAUCAAACACAUAUGAUGUAAAAUUAUUAAUUUAACAGAUUAUACCAAAGAUUGGGUUUUUUCUCAGCACUAUGUUAUUUGAUGGCUCUUUCGUGUAGUGGUUUGUGGAUUUAUGUAGCAGUUUAGUGGUCCUGAUGACUUCACUCUAUUAAGUCUGAAAAUCUUUCUCCAUUCUGUAUUUCAUAUGUCUGUAGUGAUUUAAUGUAACUAAUCCAGCUUACUGAGGAAAGAAAGUUCUCUCUCCAUGACAACUGACUGCAUUUUGGGUUUCUUUGCUGAAGCUGUCAACAGGAGACCAACUAAUGCCAAAUUUGAUACCAUUUCUAUAAAGUAGGCACCUGUCCACAAGGAGCUGGAUUGGGGCCACUUACCUAAAGUUGUUCUAGGGCAGGAAUUUAUCUUUAGAUGCUACUGCUGAUGCCAGAUUUUUAUUAGUAAUCUUCUAAUUAGUAAGACCUUCUCUUGAAAUAAAAAUAAAAUCACU